GUUCCAGACAGUUUUAUCAUCCACAUUGCUGACCUGGAAGAUGCAUCAUUGUCUAUGAUAUCUGCAAUGGAAAUGAUCACUAGGCAAUUUCAGCCUUGCAAAUCUAACGCUUUACCUAUCCUGCAAAUGCCUCAGAAUCACCUACCAAUAUAAAAGAUGGUAGGUUGCAUUUUAAAGUAGUUCUCCUUCUACAGUAUGAACAGUGACGGACAGGCUGAGAGCGGAGAGACUUUCCCUUGGACCCUUGCCUCAGUAACUUUUAAUACAUGUAAGACGGAUCAUCUGACUUUGGACUUUCUGAAGCAAUAACAUCGGAAAGUUAAUCAGAGUUGGCGUUCUGGGAAUUCAAGGGCAGAGAUAAGUGUUUCCUCCAGAUACUUCACUGUAUUUCAGCAAAUGACCUGAGGAAAGAAGUCAAAACUUCAUCACGAAAUAGAAGACUGUUCAUUUUCAAUAUUUCUUCCUUGGCCUCUAUGUGGCACUCCCUUGCUGUCUGUCCUGUUGACUUCUAUGGCUUCCACCCAAGGGAGGACAGCAUUAUAGUGGGUGAAUCCAGCACACCCCAAACUGCCCCUGCUCCCCUCUCCCCCGGGCAUGUGGGCCCUCGAAGGCAGGCUUCUCCAAACCAGCAGCAUGUGAACCCUGCCAGAAGUGAGGAAGAGCUCUAGGAGAGCAGCCAGCAGCAUCUGUUUUGCAUACAAAGGGCAGCAACAAUCAAAUCUCUUCUAGAAAAGUUUUCUUGGACAUUCAUGGAGUAAAAUAGAGUUGGAUAAACAAGCCAGGUUUAGAGUGAGCAGCGUUUGAACAAAUAUCAGCUCCAAAGGUAUUGUUGUGCCUUCCACCCUCCAUUAGUGGCCUAGGCUGGGCUAGACCUGGGCAGCUGUCGAGGGGAGGACAACCUUGUCAGAAUGGCUUCUAUUAACAGCUAGCAGUGGGCUUUCAACUGGAAUCAGUAGGAAGAAGACAAAAUCCAAUGACACAGACUCUGGAAGUGAAAUUCCUCAGCAGAGGAUGGUGGGGGCCCGGGUACACUCCACUGGACCAAUCCUUGAUUUGACUUCAGGCAGCCGGAAAGCUUGGAUGUAUGUCCCUAAGUCCUGGAGGCCAUGGAUGUAGCUCCGCCCCCUGUGGCCUCUGCGUUGCUGGCUGGUUAGUUUGAGGCAUAGAGGAGGGCCCAACUCUUACACAGCUAGUCCCAUUUUCCAUAUUCUAGCUCUACUUGAGGUUUUUCUUUAGCUUUAUAUUUUGAAAUAAUUAUAUUUUCACAGGAAGUUGCAAAAAGAUACAGAGAGGUCUCAUAUGUCUUUCCCCAUCAUCCCCCAUGGUAAGAUCUUACAUGGAGGACAAUACCAAAACUGGGACAUUGACACUGAUACAAUCCACAAAGUUUAUUCAGAUGUCACCAGUUUAACAAUCAUUCGUGUGUGUGUGUGUACAAGCGCAUGUAUGUGCCUGUUUUUUACAUUUCUAUUGCUUGGGUUUAAAAUGGUUAGAAAUUGGUCUUCCUCCUCUCAGGGGAAGGUAGAAUUCUUACAGCAGAGUCGCUGUGAAAAGGAGCUGACCCCCCUCCAAUCUCACUUCCACCAGCCUUCCACAUACUCAUGGCCAAGUGCAACCCCAAGAUUGCAAUGUCCUUCCUGCUUUGUAAAGGUAGUCUUUCUCCCCCUCCCUUUCUCCUAGCUCUCCUCUUCUCUCUUCCUGUCUCUCAUUCUUUCCCUCUCUCCCUGUCUCCCUCCCUUUCUCUCUCUCUGUUUCUCUUUUUCUUCUCAUACCAGUACUUAGAUCUGGCUACCAUCCUGAGAUUAAGAACACUGACUUUUCUUCAAACACAUCUUAACAUUCAUGGCUCAUUCCCUGUGGCCCACAUUACUCUAAGAGCUGGUAUUGCUUCCUGCAUGUGCUUUUGGCAGAACACAGGCUGGCCCCAGGAGGAUGUUAGGUAUUACAAGCAUGCUUCCAAUAGAGGCACGACCUGCGGAGGAGAAAGGGCGUAGAGGGCCCAGGAGACCUUACCAGCCACAGGCAGCUUAGCUGCACUGGCAAGACUGCCUCUAGCAAACAGUUUAUGGAGGGAAGGAAAAAUUGGGUUAACAGAAUGUGAAUAAAGCUGGUCUGCUUCUGACUGCUCAAUAAAACAGUACUGGAUGGUUGUUUAAUAAUGGGGGGGUGUGUUAGGGUUCUCUAGAGAAACAGAACCACUUGGCACUGGAGACAGAGUGUCUGAGUGUGGUUGAACUGCUAGUCCCGGGCCAAAUAGUAGCAGAUAUUCCUCUGCAUCUUUCAGAAUUCUUUCCCAAAUGUAACAAAAUAACAAACAGACCUUGCUUUUGAUUUCUUCUUUUAGGUUGGCUGAUGGCCAAUUCUGCCAGCUUGUGUUCUAUUUAUCAAACAGAUCUAGUUGGGCAUGGAUCUAGAAGUCUGUCUUCUUUCAUGGCUGUACUUUUACUGGAGUGUCUUAAUUUUCUUGGCGAAUUCAUAGGAUGACGUUCAAGGGUCACCGUAGACCUUUACAGGAGGAUGAUGCAUAAGGCUUCAGUAAAAUCGCAUUGCUGGAAAUCCAUUACCAGCACAAUGCAAAAUUAACUUUCUUCUUUUCUGUCCUUAAUGCCACUGUGUUCCCUCCUCCUCCUCCCCUCAUACUCCCUCCCCACCUUUGUGGAAAAAGAAAUAAUUUACAAUGUGGUAAAUGUAUUCUAGCUGUGGUUUUCUAUUAUGUCCUGAUCUCUUCUUUUUUCUACCUGUCAAAUCUUAUUACUGUAGCACAGCAAGGCUCCCCAAUGGGUCAUUAUUUCAAAUAAUAGUAGUUCCACUCCCAUUUGACUCUCUUAUGCCAGCAUUUCCUCGGGAAUUGACUCACACAUUCAAGUCAUACGUAUGAACUGGCUUCCGGUUUCAUCUCAGAUAUGUAAACGGUGUGUUCAAAAUACUUAAACAUGUUUCUUGCUAUCAAAUGCAACAAAAAUAAAAUGAAC
ensembl:lncRNA LY86-AS1 LY86 antisense RNA 1